GGGGUCGUAUUGGAUUUGACAGCGAUAGAAGUUGUUGAGUGUAAGCAUGUCGAGCGUUGUGGUGAAGCUCGUAAAUAUCUUGCCGCAAACUAUAAUUGACAACACGUCAUACAGACUUGCUGCCUAAUUUGUUAGACAAAUUAAGCUUAAUCUAGUGGAAGUUUAGUACACAGACAAGUUCCUUCUCCUCCCAUUCCGCCUGUUAAUUGGAGGAACUAGAAGGAUCAACUCUUUCAGGAUAGUAUUGGUGAUACUUCUAAGCCAAUAUGAGAUUAAGAAGUUAAGUAUAAUUAUUGGGUGUCUUUGUCCGAGAUUAUAUCGAAAAUCCAAUCGAAGAAUAAACAUGUAGAAAGCUUAAU
rnacentral:tmRNA from 1 species